rnacentral:rRNA from 1 species
GAACGCUGGCGGCGUGCUUAACACAUGCAAGUCGAACGAUGAAGCCCAGCUUGCUGGGUGGAUUAGUGGCGAACGGGUGAGUAACACGUGAGUAACCUGCCCUUGACUCUGGGAUAAGCACUGGAAACGGUGUCUAAUACCGGAUACGAGCUUCAGCCGCAUGGCUAGGAGUUGGAAAGAAUUUCGGUCAAGGAUGGACUCGCGGCCUAUCAGGUAGUUGGUGAGGUAAUGGCCCACCAAGCCUACGACGGGUAGCCGGCCUGAGAGGGUGACCGGCCACACUGGGACUGAGACACGGCCCAGACUCCUACGGGAGGCAGCAGUGGGGAAUAUUGCACAAUGGGCGCAAGCCUGAUGCAGCAACGCCGCGUGAGGGACGACGGC